UACGUAGGGUGCGAGCGUUGUCCGGAAUUACUGGGCGUAAAGAGCUCGUAGGCGGUUUGUUGCGUCGGCUGUGAAAUCCCGAGGCUCAACCUCGGGUCUGCAGUCGAUACGAGCAGACUAGAGUGUUGCAGGGGAGACUGGAAUUCCUGGUGUAGCGGUGAAAUGCGCAGAUAUCAGGAGGAACACCGGUGGCGAAGGCGGGUCUCUGGGCAACAACUGACGCUGAGGAGCGAAAGCGUGGGGAGCGAACAGG
rnacentral:rRNA from 1 species